CGUUGAAAUAAUGGUUCCCGUACGAUCACUGAAGUUAAGCAAAACCGAGCGCUGUCAGUACCUAAAUGGGUGACCACUUGGGAAUACCAGGUGCCACAG